rnacentral:rRNA from 1 species
GACAUGCAAGUGGUAGGAAACUGAAAGGCGACCUUCGGGAGCUUUGCACAGGUGCUGCAUGGCUGUCGUCAGCUCGUGUCGUGAGAUGUUCGGUUAAGUCCGCUAACGAGCGCAACCCUUCACUGUGUGUUAUAUGUGUCACACGGGACUGCCGGUUUUAAGCCGGAGGAAGGUGGGAUGACGUCAAGUCAGCAUGGCCUUUAUAUCCUGGGCUACACACACGCUACAAUGGUCGGUACAAUAGGUUGCCAAGCCGCGAGGCGGAGCCAAUCCAAAAAAGACCGGCCUCAGUUCAGAUUGUAGGCUGCAACUCGCCUGCAUGAAGAUGGAGUUGCUAGUAACCGCAGGUCAGCAAUACUGCGGUGAAUACGUUCCCGGGCCUU